rnacentral:rRNA from 1 species
AAAGUUACUUCGGUACAUCGGUGACAGGUGGUGCAUGGUUGUCGUCAGCUCGUGUCGUGAGAUGUUGGUUAAGUCCCGCAACGAGCGCAACCCCUAUUGUUAGUUGCCAUCAUUCAGUUGGGCACUCUAGCGAGACUGCCGGUAAUAAACCGGAGGAAGGUGGGGAUGACGUCAAAUCAUCAUGCCCCUUAUGACCUGGGCUACACACGUGCUACAAUGGUUGGUACAACGAGUUGCGAGUCGGUGACGGCGAGCUAAUCUCUUAAAGCCAAUCUCAGUUCGGAUUGUAGGCUGCAACUCGCCUACAUGAAGUCGGAAUCGCUAGUAAUCGCGGAUCAGCACGCCGCGGUGAAUACGUCCCGGGCCUU